GACGAACGCUGGCGGCGUGCUUAACACAUGCAAGUCGAACGGAAAGGCGCUGCUUUUGUGGGGUGCUCGAGUGGCGAACGGGUGAGUAACACGUGAGUAACCUGCCCUUGACUUUGGGAUAACUUCAGGAAACUGGGGCUAAUACCGGAUAGGAGCUCCUGCUGCAUGGUGGGGGUUGGAAAGUUUCGGCGGUUGGGGAUGGACUCGCGGCUUAUCAGCUUGUUUGUGGGGUAGUGGUUUACCAAGGCUUUGACGGGUAGCCGGCCUGAGAGGGUGACCGGGCACAUUGGGACUGAGAUACGGCCCAGACUGCUACGGGAGGCAGAAGUGGGGAAUAUUGCACAAUGGGCGGAAGCCUGAUGCAGCAACGCCGCGUGCGGGAUGACGGGCUUCGGGUGGUAAACCGCUUUCGCCUGUGAUGAAGCGUGAGUGACGGUAAUGGGUAAAGAAGCACCGGCUAACUACGUG
rnacentral:rRNA from 1 species